rnacentral:rRNA from 1 species
UACGUAGGUGACCAGCGUUGUCCGGAUUUACUGGGCGUAAAGAGCGCGCAGGCGGUCGUUCAAGUCGAGUGUGAAAGCCCCCGGCUCAACUGGGGAGGGUCACUUGAUACUGAUCGACUCGAAGGCAGGAGAGGGAAGCGGAAUUCCCGGUGUAGUGGUGAAAGUGCGUAGAUAUCGGGAGGAACACCAGUGGCGAAGGCGGCUUCCUCGGCGUGUUCCUUGACGCUGAGGCGCGAAAGCUAGGGGAGCAAACGGG